rnacentral:piRNA from 1 species
UGUCGUUUCAAGAAGCCUUGUUGCUUAGC